AUUAUAUGAGUUGAAAAAUUACAAAAAAAAUCCCAUCGCAACACAAAUUGGCUUAUAGGGCACUCUUCUUUCAAUCUCUCACUUGUACUAAAGCCAAUCGCCUUUGUAUUCCAUACAAUUAAGAUGGCGAUCAAAUAGCUGCUAUGGUAUGGUCUUAGUGAAUUGGUCUAUUAUAUUGUUCUUUGUAUCUACUCAUUCAAAAAUAACGUCUUAUCUCUCUAUAAUUUUUUGAUCG
rnacentral:lncRNA from 1 species